rnacentral:rRNA from 1 species
GGCUCAGGAUGAACGCUAGCGGCAGGCCUAAUACAUGCAAGUCGGACGGGAUUCAAUAGCUUGCUAUUGAUGAGAGUGGCGCACGGGUGCGUAACGCGUGAGCAACCUGCCCAGUUUCAGGGGGAUAGACCCGGAGAAAUCCGGAUUAAUACCGCAGUAUGAUCACAUUACCGCAUGGUAGGGUGAUGAAAUAUUCAUAGGAAAUGGAUGGGCUCGCGUGACAUUAGCUAGUUGGUAGGGUAACGGCCUACCAAGGCGACGAUGUCUAGGGGCUCUGAGAGGAGAAUCCCCCACACUGGUACUGAGACACGGACCAGACUCCUACGGGAGGCAGCAGUAAGGAAUAUUGGUCAAUGGGGGAAACCCUGAACCAGCCAUGCCGCGUGCAGGAAGACGGCCCUACGGGUUGUAAACUGCUUUUGCACGGGAAUAACCCUCAUUAUGUAUAAUGAGCUGAAUGUACCGUGAGAAUAAGGAUCGGCUAACUCCGUG